GACGAACGCUGGCGGCGUGCUUAACACAUGCAAGUCGAGCGGUAAGGCCCUUUCGGGGGUACACGAGCGGCGAACGGGUGAGUAACACGUGGGUGACCUGCCUUUAGCUCUGGGAUAAGCCUGGGAAACUGGGUCUAAUACCGGAUAUGACUCCGCGGUGCAUGCUGUGGGGUGGAAAGCCUUGUGCGGCUGGAGAUGGGGCCCGUCGGCCUAUCAGCUUGUUGGUGGGGUGAUGGCCUACCAAGGCGA
rnacentral:rRNA from 1 species